CUGUAAACCAUAUUGGGGGGCUGACUUGACCACGUAUGCUGCUGGAACAGGAAUGUUGAUCCGUUGUUCUGAUGGUGUCGAGACAUACUUCACCAAGUAGUCAAUAACAUUCCAGUGAGCAGCAGAGAUUGGCUCGUGUAAAUGCCCAAUGAGUCUGACUUCAUUCUCCACCAUGUGCCUCUCAAGUAAAGCACUAAAACGACCCCAGAGUUGUCUCCUAAACGCAGACGUAGAAUUCUGAAUUUGUCUAACAUUGAUCGCUUUAUGAGUGGACAAUCUCAUACUCUGCCGCUCCAGUUUGAGGGCCUCUUGAGAAUCAUAGUGCCUUUUCAUCAUUUUGUGCAAAUGGUUCAACUGGGCUGUAUGUAGCCAUAGCAAGUCAAGAUGGGGAAUUUUAGGAGUUUUGUAGCUGCAACAAACUUGGACUAGUUUAGAGGAGAAAUACACCUUGGGAAGAAAACGAAAAAUGACAAGGAACUAUGGAAAAUUUGUCACAGCCCUCCUCUGCUGAGCCUGCCACUGAAAUAUCUCACAACACAGACAACAAGAAUAGGCAGUCUGCCAACAGUGAUGAUUUAAGUGCACAAAUUGCAGCGAGGGGAGAUGCUCUUGUAGAGGAUGAAGUGUAAAGAAUACAAACUAAAGAACUACUACUUGUCAAUAAUACAUCCUUCCAAGGCGCUACAAUGUCAACUACAAACCUGCAACUGCCAAUCAACCAAGCACAUCCAUCCUCUGUCUUUUCAAAUGAUUUCAUUUUUCUUUUUGGUCCUUGCCAGGAGACGUCAGUAUAAGGGGCUUCACAUACUCUGCUUCAAAACCAAAAUUCAAUUUCUGACAGUUCAAUAUGCUCUUCGUGCCAAGGAGAAGUUGUUAUGGUAAAAUAGUGUAAUUCAAGCCUUUCGUAUCAGUUUCUUGAGGGAUGAUCUAGAGAAAUCUUCAUAAUUUGCUGUACUUCAUUCUUGCACAGCUGAAUGGUGAUCAAGAAAUAUUUUUCUUCUUUCUUUCACUCCACGAGAUAAGCUGCAGAUAUAUCCAUAUACAUAUCCUUGAAAGUUUCUUUCAUGAUUUUGGGAUAGUCAUUAAUUCUAGACUGAAAGAAGAUUGAAAGUUUCUUCUUUUUCGCUUUCUUUCCUCGUACAAGGCUUUUAGAUUCUUUCAACUUGACUUACCAGAAAGAUUUGGUAGUUUCACAUGAAGAGUUUGCUCCUGGACGCACCAUUCAUUCGAAAGGAAAAGGUAGAUGCAUGGAGCAAUGAUACUUUACCAGCGCUCUGCCUACAACCUAAAAUGUCAUUUGAUGCCCAUUUCGGAAAGCCCUGUUUGCCAUGCAUUCACAUCCAUCUCCUGUCCAAAAUCAGUCUAGCAAGCAAAUUUCAUUCUUUCAACAAAUCCCAAUUACACAAUGAAUAAGAGCAGCACAUUCCUAAUUUAGCCCAUCGAAUCCUCACAACAAAGAAAUCAGUAAAAUUCUGAACUCCAAUUGAUAUUGCUAAUUUCUAUUUCCAGCAUUCAAGAGAUGCUAUGAACACACAACAAUUAACUACAUGUUAAAUCAAAAGAAUUCCCAACCCAAUUGCUGAGGAGCCUAUGUUUAUAUGGGUCAUAUAAAUGAGUGAAUAAUGUCUUAGCAGUUGCAAUGCAACAGAGGAUUCGUCUGUUUGAGCUCUUGAGUUAUCCUUAAUAAAUGAGACAUCAAUAAGGGGCUUCACAUGCUCCACUUCAAAACCAGAAUUCAUUUUCUGACAGUUCGAUAUGCUCUUCGUACCAAGGAGAGGAGUUGUUAUGGUGAAUGAAUGGCGAUCGGGAAAUAUUUCUCUUCUCUCUUUCACUGCACAAGAAAAGCUGCAGUUAUAUCGAUAAACAUAUCCUUGAAAGCUGCAGGUGCAUCAUGUCUUUUCAAGAAAGCUAUUUAUUUAUUAUUUCAAUCUGAUGAGAUGAGCCAUUUUGUAUGAAAUUCUUUG